rnacentral:misc_RNA from 1 species
UCUGUAGUCGGACAGCUUUCACCACCAGCGUUUGUAGUCAAAACUGAAGCUGAAGGUUGUACUUUCAAGUUCCUGUUAUGAGUGGAUGUAAAGCUAACCUCUCUUGAAUAUCAAAUGACUAAGCUGUAAUGUGAAAUUUGCUAUGGGGGUUGAGUCGUGAAAGGACUCUGGAAUGGUGAGGCUAUGGAUGCUGGAUGUCCCAUUUGAGCAAUGGACAGUGCUCUCAGGUACAUUUCCGUCCUGUUGGUUCAUCAUUGGUUGUGUCUGUUAGAUGGCUUCCACAGGAGUUCAUGUCUGGUGGUGUUUAUUUAACAGCUGCAUUCUUUCUCAGGGUUCACUUGGCUGUGUUAAGUCUAUGGUCGUUGCCCAAUGAGUUGGUCUUCGCCAGGUUGUUGUAUUACGCCUUGUGUGGUGGUAAUGUUCGAUGGUGCUGGCCAUGUAAGGUUGUACAUUUUCUCAAGGUGUGGGUUGGUUUUGAUUUGUACCUCCGUGGCGGUGUUGUCAUGCUGCAAAUGCUUGAUGUGUUACGUAAGGUGUUUGAAGUGUUGGAUGGCAUCAGUUUUCGUUUGGUUACUUUACCCCUCAGGAGUGUUCUUGGGCUGGGGAAUUGAUGGUUGUUAGCCGGUUGGAUUGGGGCAGUUGUAGUUUACCAUUGCCCGUGAGGUAAUUAUAGCUGCAUUUUAAUGGGAACUAUAACUUGAGGCGUGGAGAUGAGGGACCACCUGUGGAUUUAUUGUUCCGGAGGUUUUGGUGACUUCAUUCGGUCUUAAAACCAGUUGACAUGGAAAGUAAAAUGUAACUGGUAUUCCGAGGUGGUUACUUCGAAGGUUUAUACCUGAAGUCUGUCGAUCCGUUGGUUAACCCUUUGGCUGGGUUCUAUGAGUUACUUUAUCAUCUAUGUCGUUUCUGCCGGUGUGACCGUUGAUGAUUCUGUCUUAAUCGCCACGCUGCCUGUUGCCUUAGUUGGUAAUUUCGUCAGUGCGACUCCAGUUCUGCUUGUUUAUCUCAUCACCAGGUUUGUUUUUCUGUUAUCCUUUUCUCCAGUGUACCUGUCGAGUAACUCUGAACACGUUAACCUAAAGUACGUCAGGGUCUAUUUUUUAUGUACAUUUUCAAAAGUUCGUGAGCUAAUUUAUGUAUUAAGAUAAUUACUCAGAAUUUUGUUUAGUUGACGGAAUUUUAAUGAAUAAUUUAAAAUGAUUUUGUUUGGAAUAUAAAAGAUGAAG